UACGUAGGGGGCAAGCGUUGUCCGGAUUUACUGGGCGUAAAGAGCGUGUAGGCGGCCAUGCAGGUCCGUUGUGAAAACUGGAGGCUUAACCUCCAGACGUCGACGGAAACCGCGUGGCUAGAGUCCGGAAGAGGAGACUGGAAUUCCUGGUGUAGCGGUGAAAUGCGCAGAUAUCAGGAGGAACACCAGUGGCGAAGGCGGGUCUCUGGACAGUUCCUGACACUGAGACACGAAGGCCAGGGGAGCAAACGGG
rnacentral:rRNA from 1 species